rnacentral:misc_RNA from 1 species
AUAUCAUCAAUACAAAUCAACUUGAUAUGUGCUUGGAUGUUGAAGGUAUGCUGGCUUUUGCAAGUUUAGCUCCUUUUAAAUGAAUUAGCAGAACUAUUUAGGACUGGCUUCAGUUUGAUAAUUAUCUUUAUCUAUUGCUGUUGCUUGCUACUUUUGUUCAGCUGAUAAUUGUCCUUGGACUGUCUUUUAAGACAUGAAAAUCUUA